rnacentral:rRNA from 1 species
UACGUAGGGUCCGAGCGUUGUCCGGAGUUACUGGGCGUAAAGCGCGUGCAGGCGGCGGUGUAAGCAUGGCGUGAAAGCCCCAGGCUCAACCUGGGAGGGUCGUCGUGGACUGCACCGCUUGAGGGCGGUAGGGGCUGGUGGAAUGCCUGGUGUAGUGGUGAAAUGCGUAGAGAUCAGGCGGAACACCCGUGGCGAAGGCGGCCAGCUGGGCCGUCCCUGACGCUGAGGCGCGAAGGCGUGGGGAGCGAACGGG